GAUGAACGCUGGCGGCGUGCCUAACACAUGCAAGUCGAGCGAUUCUCUUCGGAGAAGAGCGGCGGACGGGUGAGUAACGCGUGGGUAACCUGCCCUGUACACACGGAUAACAUACCGAAAGGUAUGCUAAUACGAGAUAAUAUACUUUUAUCGCAUGGUAGAAGUAUCAAAGCUUUUGCGGUACAGGAUGGACCCGCGUCUGAUUAGCUAGUUGGUAGGUAACGGCUUACCAAGGCGACGAUCAGUAGCCGACCUGAGAGGGUGAUCGGCCACAUUGGAACUGAGACACGGUCCAAACUCCUACGGGAGGCAGCAGUGGGGAAUAUUGCACAAUGGGCGAAAGCCUGAUGCAGCAACGCCGCGUGAGCGAUGAAGGCCUUAGGGUCGUAAAGCUCUGUCCUCAAGGAAGAUAAUGACGGUACUUGAGGAGGAAGCCCCGGCUAACUACGUGCCAGCAGCCGCGGUAACAC
rnacentral:rRNA from 1 species